rnacentral:rRNA from 1 species
AGUGAACGCUGGCGGUAGGCCUAACACAUGCAAGUCGAACGGCAGCACAGUAAGAGCUUGCUCUUACGGGUGGCGAGUGGCGGACGGGUGAGGAAUACAUCGGAAUCUACUUUUUCGUGGGGGAUAACGUAGGGAAACUUACGCUAAUACCGCAUACGACCUACGGGUGGAAGCAGGGGAUCUUCGGACCUUGCGCGAUUGAAUGAGCCGAUGUCGGAUUAGCUAGUUGGCGGGGUAAAGGCCCACCAAGGCGACGAUCCGUAGCUGGUCUGAGAGGAUGAUCAGCCACACUGGAACUGAGACACGGUCCAGACUCCUACGGGAGGAAGCAGUGGAGAAUAUUGGACAAUGGGCGCAAGCCUGAUCCAGCCAUACCGCGUGGGUGAAGAAGGCCUUCGGGUUGUAAAGCCCUUUUGUUGGGAAAGAAAAGCAGCAGGUUAAUACCCCGCUGUUCUGACGGUACCCAAAGAAUAAGCACCGGCUAACUUCGUG